UACGAAGGGGGCUAGCGUUGUUCGGAAUUACUGGGCGUAAAGCGCACGUAGGCGGAUAUUUAAGUCAGGGGUGAAAUCCCGGGGCUCAACCCCGGAACUGCCUUUGAUACUGGGUAUCUCGAGUCCGAGAGAGGUGAGUGGAAUUCCGAGUGUAGAGGUGAAAUUCGUAGAUAUCGAGAGGAACACCUGCGGCGAAGGCGGGUAGCUGGGCCGACACUGACGCUGAGGCGCGAAAGCCAGGGGAGCGAACGGG
rnacentral:rRNA from 1 species